rnacentral:rRNA from 1 species
GGCAGCAGUGGGGAAUCUUCGGCAAUGGGGGCAACCCUGACCGAGCAACGCCGCGUGAGUGAAGAAGGUUUUCGGAUCGUAAAGCUCUGUUGUAAGAGAAGAACGUGUGUGAGAGUGGAAAGUUCACACAGUGACGGUAACUUACCAGAAAGGGACGGCUAACUACGUGCCAGCAGCCGCGGUAAUACGUAGGUCCCGAGCGUUGUCCGGAUUUAUUGGGCGUAAAGCGAGCGCAGGCGGUUUAAUAAGUCUGAAGUUAAAGGCAGUGGCUUAACCAUUGUUCGCUUUGGAAACUGUUAGACUUGAGUGCAGAAGGGGAGAGUGGAAUUCCAUGUGUAGCGGUGAAAUGCGUAGAUAUAUGGAGGAACACCGGUGGCGAAAGCGGCUCUCUGGUCUGUAACUGACGCUGAGGCUCGAAAGCGUGGGGAGCAAACAGGAUUAGAUACCCUGGUAGUCCACGCCGUAAACGAUGAGUACUAAGUGU